CAGGAUGCGGCCACAACCCCAAACAGCACCACAUCCUCACAAGGCUGAGGGACGCGACCACGAGAAGGACUUUCUCCUUGACGCUCCCCAACCCCGACCUGUUUCCGCGAGGACAGUCUUUCCCAGAAGUCCCUGGCACACGCCUCCUUAGGUCUCAUUGGGCAGAGCUGGGUCACAUGACCACACUUGGGCCAAUCACCGGCAAGAGCACCGAGGGAGACAAAAUUGGCUUUUACGAAGUAUGGGGCUUCCCCAGUGUUGAUGCUGGAAGGUCAGAGUUGGUUUCGCGAGGGAGGACGGGACAGGCAUGUGCGGUGGCCACCCAAAAUGGCUGCCUCCGCAUAUUAGCACAGCAUUGUUUUCCAUCCCAGGUGGGGUCUACGGACUCCAGUUCUAAAGGCUUCUCACCUUUUUAAAAGUACUUGGGAGCCUCUCAGCUUUGACCUUCCCAGGAAGGGGGCCUGCUUGGGCCAUUUGGGGAUAAGAGUCUUACAAAACUGAACAUAUCUGACACCUGGUUGAGAGGUGCCUGCCUGUAGGCACGAGAAGCCUCCCGGAAAAGGAAUCACCUAAAAAAAGAAGGGGUUCAUUCCAUCACUGCCUCAGCCGCCAUUUAUUGAUCACCUACUGUGUGCCAGCCAUGGUGAUCAGGGCUAGUGGUGAACAGCACAAAUGUAAAGGGCAAACAAUUGUCACUCUCCAUCCCAGUGCCCAUCGGCUCAUGGGGCACCCAAGGGAGAACGACCUCUAUUAGAAUAAGGAAAAUCUGCAAGAGCAGUUUCUGGAACAACAUGCUGAGCACUUAGCAGCACUGCAUCAAAGCCUCAAUGAGGGAGCACAGUUUGCUUCAGGAUCGAAAGAAGUUCCACAUACUCCAUAAAUCUUAAACCCUUCGGGAAUUCCAGAUCAAAACAAAAGCCGGAACAAAAUUGGAUUUCUCUAUCCCUACUUUAUAUUUUGUGAAAUUGCAAUCGUGGAGAGGGUAUUUUUUUUUUCCUUAUUAAAAAAUAAAAACAAAA